rnacentral:misc_RNA from 1 species
CGUGUUCCACCGGACUAGGUCUCUCUCAACCUUCUCAAGUGAUUCAAUGAUCAAGUAACAAGCAUUAAUGGCUCUCCCGCGUCCUUUUCCCUCCCCUCCCGACGCCUGCGCUCCCCAAAACCUCACACCUGUGCCCACUCUAGGCCCGGUGGCCACCUCCCGAGGGUUCGCCGCCGCCCUCUCCUCUUCACCUUCCCCUGCACUGCAGGCGUCAGCUUCUGCGUCCAUUUCCCUUCCGUCACCUUCUCCUUCUCAGUGUGCGGCGCAGGCCAAGUCUGGAGGGAGGUCCAAGUUCGAGCGUUGGCGAGCUGACAGCUCCGCUGGUGGUAGCUCGCUUGGCCCUGUCGGCGGUGUUACCUCUAGGCCUUCCUUCCGCGACG